GGAAUUGACGGGGGCCCGCACAAGCGGAGGAGCAUGUGGUUUAAUUCGAUGAUACGCGAGGAACCUUACCUGGGCUCGAACGUAAGAUGACUGUAGGUGAAAGCUUACAUCUCUUCGGAGCAUUUUACGAGGUGCUGCAUGGUUGUCGUCAGCUCGUGCCGUGAGGUGUCGGGUUAAGUCCCGCAACGAGCGCAACCCCUGCAUUCAGUUGCCAUCGGGUAAUGCCGGGCACUCUGGAAGGACUGCCAUCGACAAGAUGGAGGAAGGUGGGGAUGACGUCAAGUCAUCAUGGCCCUUAUGUCCAGGGCGACACACGUGCUACAAUGGCCGGCACAACGGGAAGCGAGUUCGCGAGGACGAGCGGAUCCCUCAAAGCCGGUCGCAGUUCGGAUUGAAGUCUGCAACUCGACUUCAUGAAGCUGGAAUCGCUAGUAAUCGUGGAUCAGCCAAGCCGCGGUGAAUACGUUCCCGGGCCUU
rnacentral:rRNA from 1 species